CCAUGACAAUGAUUUCAGUACCCUGUGUAAUUCACGAACACACAAGCAUAUCCCAAACCCUGGAACGAACAACUUUUAAUCCACAAAAUCUGAUCAAGACAAUUCCUUUGAUUACAAUUCCUCUCCACUAAACUUACAACCUUGCGAUAAAUAGUGACUGGAAACUUCCAUAUAUCCUCAAUCUUUCAAAACAAUUGAUAAAUAGUGAUCCAUAAAUAACUUCAUAAAUCAAACACUAAUUCAUUAAAUCGAUUCUCUUCACUAGAAUCAACACUAACACAAAAGAAACAAGAAAACUAAGAAGAAGAGAUAGCACCAAGCUUAUCUUCGGCUUAGUACUAUUAUAGUCUGGCAUUUUCUUCCCCUCUCCCAUCCUCCUUACACUACCUCAAGAUACCAACUCCUAUACUAUAGAUGAUAACUACUUUUCCUGACUAUUCAUCCAUUCUAUCUGCUGAAUGACCUUUUCAGCAGUUAUCUAUUUCUGUUUAUACUACAUACUAGGUAUCUACAUUCUGAAAAUAACUACUUAUUCUACAUAGCCUCACUCCUAUCUAUGUAGCAUCUUCGCAAAUUUAGUAUUGAUAAACAAAAAUCAAUCAUUUUUUUUUUUUUUUUUUUUAACUGGAUUGUUCAAUCUCUUCGAUUUCUGACGCUGGCUUCAUUUGGUCUUAUUCCAACACUAUAUCUUCUUCUUCCGACUCGUCCUGAAUCUCUGUCCUUGAUUGAGUUGUUAAAUCUUCAUUAUGCGCUCCCAAUUCUCGAACCUGAGCUUCCAAUUGGAUGAUUCUAGUAUCUUUAACUUCUAGUUGUUGCUGCUGCUGUUGCAAUUUUU
rnacentral:lncRNA from 1 species